UACGGAGGGGGCAAGCGUUGUUCGGAAUUACUGGGCGUAAAGGGCGCGCAGGCGGCUGCUCAAGUCAGGCGUGAAAGGCCUGGGCUCAACCCGGGAAUUGCGCUUGAGACUGGGCUGGCUUGAGUGCGGGAGAGGAUGGUGGAAUUCCCAGUGUAGAGGUGAAAUUCGUAGAUAUUCGGAAGAACACCAGUGGCGAAGGCGACUUACUGGACACAUAUUGACGCUGAGGUGCGAAAGCGUGGGGAGCAAACAGG
rnacentral:rRNA from 1 species